ACUCCUACGGGAGGCAGCAGUGGGGAAUAUUGCACAAUGGGGGAAACCCUGAUGCAGCCAUGCCGCGUGUGUGAAGAAGGCCUUGGGUUGUAAAGCACUUUCAGUAGGGAGGAAGGUAGUGUAGUUAACACCUGCAUUAUUUGACGUUACCUACAGAAGAAGCACCGGCUAACUCCGUGCCAGCAGCCGCGGUAAUACGGAGGGUGCGAGCGUUAAUCGGAAUUACUGGGCGUAAAGCGCAUGCAGGCGGCCUGUUAAGUCAGAUGUGAAAGCCCGGGGCUUAACCUCGGAAUUGCAUUUGAAACUGGCAGGCUAGAGUCUUGUAGAGGGGUUAGAAUUUCAGGUGUAGCGGUGAAAUGCGUAGAGAUCUGAAGGAAUACCAGUGGCGAAGGCGGCCCCUGGACAAAGACUGACGCUCAGAUGCGAAAGCGUGGGAGCAAACAGGAUUAGAUACCCCUGGUAGCGACUGA
rnacentral:rRNA from 1 species